AUUGCCAGUGUGUAAUAAACGGCCGAUGAUAAAAUGACAUCACUUUGUUCUGCAUUAUACGAUGUCGUUUGGUUAUAUUAAGUUGGGAAAUUUGAAUUGGGCAUAAAAUUAGGGUAAGCUACUCUUCUUCUUUGCUAAAGAAGCAGAACACGUAGAGAAGAAGGAGUUCUGCAAAUGUUGGGCUUUGGCUUGCUACAACAACAAGAUUUAGGAAGCAUAAGUUGGGCAAUCUUUAAUUGGGCAUAAAAGUAGGGUAAAUAUCUCACUUUCAUCGUUAAAGAAGAAGAACGCUAAAGAGAGGUUGGGGCUUUGGCUCGCUACAACAACAACAUUGAUGGGUGAUUAUUUUCUCGUUCGUCAUCGAGCGCGAGGAAUAUAACAGAACCUACUCGAUUUUUCUAUUACAACAUUGCUGCGUUGGGGGAUGACUGUGGAUUUUGGGAAUGGAAGGAUCAAGACGAGUUUUUUCUAAGGAUUAGGAACGAAAGGGACAAUGCAAAGAUGCAAAUUUACAGUCGAGCUGUUGUUAUGAAUUUCCCAAGUGAAGAAGCCCAUAAAGAAGAUGAAGACUUGAAGUUGUUGAAAAAAUCAGUUGUUGAAAAAAUCAAUUUCCAGUCCAGUUGUAAAUUUCGUCCUUUUGUGUUUUGAUUAGGGCUUUUGUUUAGUUAUUAUCUUUUGUUUGUUUAUUUUAAUCGAUGACCACAUAAAUUGAAAAGGUGCUUUGUUUUGUUUAAGUUAAUCGAUGACACCAUAAAGAAUUUUCAA